GACGAACGCUGGCGGCGUGCUUAACACAUGCAAGUCGAGCGAAUGGAUUAAGAGCUUGCUCUUAUGAAGUUAGCGGCGGACGGGUGAGUAACACGUGGGUAACCUGCCCAUAAGACUGGGAUAACUCCGGGAAACCGGGGCUAAUACCGGAUAACAUUUUGAACCGCAUGGUUCGAAAUUGAAAGGCGGCUUCGGCUGUCACUUAUGGAUGGACCCGCGUCGCAUUAACUAGUUGGUGAGGUAACGGCUCACCAAGGCAACGAUGCGUAGCCGACCUGAGAGGGUGAUCGGCCACACUGGGACUGAGACACGGCCCAGACUCCUACGGGAGGCAGCAGUAGGGAAUCUUCCGCAAUGGACGAAAGUCUGACGGAGCAACGCCGCGUGAGUGAUGAAGGCUUUCGGGUCGUAAAACUCUGUUGUUAGGGAAGAACAAGCGCUAGUUGAAUAAGCUGGCACCUUGACGGUACCUAACCAGAAAGCCACGGCUAACUACGUGCCAGCCGCCGCAGUAA
rnacentral:rRNA from 1 species